rnacentral:rRNA from 1 species
CCUGGGAUAUUUUAGUAGGGGGGUAGGGGUAUGUAAUUAGGGACUUUUUAGUUUAUAGAAAAAAUUUUUGGUAGGGGGAACAAAGGAAUUAGGGGCUUUAGGUGUUUUGGUUAGUUUUUUAGUAUUGCAUAUUAUUAGAGGAUUAGAUUUAUGUUUGGAUUAUUAAUAGAAAUAAAAGGGGGAAAGAUUUUUGGUUUUAUUGUUGUAUAAUAGGAAUUAUUAUUUUUUGUUUUGAUAUAACGUCUUUUAUUAUAUCUGUGGUGUUUGUAUUUUUUAGAAAAUUGUAAAUUUUUGUUGGUUUUUGGGGAAGGUUUAGAAUUUGAAGUUUUUUGUUUUUUUGGGGUAUGACUUUUUCUGGUGGAAUAAGUGGUUUGGUAUAUUUUUUUUAUUAAUGUUUAAAUAUUUUGAUGGUUUUAAAUUUAGUAUAUUGUGGUAAAUGUGUUUGUUGUUAUGAAUUGGUGAUAAUACCUGAUUUUAUAAUCAAAUGUUUAUUAAAGACUUAGACCCUAUUGUGGUGUUGUCCUCUGCUCUAUGAUGGUUAAAAUGGCCGCCUUAGCGUGAGGCCCUGAAAGUAGCAAAAUAAUUUGUGUUUUUAAUGGAUUCGAGUAUGAAAGGGGGUUUUGGUUAUUUUGUUUUUGUUUUUAUUUAGAAGUAUAGUGGUGUUUAAUAAUUAAUGUUUGUGGUUAAACAAAGAUAAGUCUUCGGAAUUUCCGUUGAUCCUUGAAAAUGUUGGUUUUAUGAUUAUGUUGUUUAGGGCAAGAUUUUGUAUAAGGAUUUUUAUUAUUUUUAUGUAAAAGAGUUACUCCGGAGUUAACCGAAAAUCCCUUUUUUCUAGAUGUUAUAGAUAAAAGGGUUUUACCUCGAUGUUGUAUUCUAAUUGUGGAAAGGAGU